CGACCCCAGGUCAGGCGGGACUACCCGCUGAGUUUA
rnacentral:rRNA from 1 species